UGGGGAAUAUUGCACAAUGGGCGCAAGCCUGAUGCAGCGACGCCGCGUGGGGGAUGACGGCCUUCGGGUUGUAAACUCCUUUCGCUAGGGACGAAGCUUUUUGUGACGGUACCUAGAUAAGAAGCACCGGCUAACUACGUGCCAGCAGCCGCGGUAAUACGUAGGGUGCGAGCGUUGUCCGGAAUUACUGGGCGUAAAGGGCUCGUAGGUGGUUUGUCGCGUCGUCUGUGAAAUUCCGGGGCUUAACUCCGGGCGUGCAGGCGAUACGGGCAUAACUUGAGUACUGUAGGGGUAACUGGAAUUCCUGGUGUAGCGGUGAAAUGCGCAGAUAUCAGGAGGAACACCGAUGGCGAAGGCAGGUUACUGGGCAGUUACUGACGCUGAGGGGCGAAAGCAUGGGUAGCGAACAGG
rnacentral:rRNA from 1 species